AUGUGGGUGUGCCUCAUACAAUCAGUUGAAGGUCUUAAAAGACCAAGGUUUCCUGGAGAAGGAAUUCUACCACAAGAUUGGAACAUAAAAACACUGUGUCAGUUUCUAGCCUGCUGGCCUGCCUACACUGUUAAAAUCCAAGCAUGGGGAGACCAGGCAGCCUGGAAUAGACAAUUGAGAGACGCUGGCGAAGAUGACCAGGAAACGACGAGCCUCCAGCCCAGUUUUGGAACAAUCACCGGCCAUCACCAAAAUGGCGAGGAAGAGGAAGGCCCCCUCUCAACCUAGAUCCAGAAGCCCUUUCCAGAUUCCCAAGACAACUAGGAAGGGAAAAAGAACCCUUCAAGGAAGUUCCAGGAAAAACGUCUCUCCCAAAAAGACCACUGCUUCAGGAAAACCUGAGGAAGGGAGUGGGCCAACAGUAUCCUGCCAUUGUGACCAGCUGAACGAGGAACUCCAUCAAAAUGAGCCACAGCUGGACCAAAACAGUGAGGAGACCUCCACCUUCUUCAGUGUCUCCCUGAGCAGUCAGUAAUUUCAGGGCAAGCUGAGAGGUCUCCAGAGGUCUAACCCCAGAUAAAUAGCCAACAGGGUCUAGAGUACAUUUUAUACCCAACAGGGUAUACCCCAUGGUGAUCAAAAUAAAAUAAACCUGUUGUAAAAUGA